GAUGGUGUGUAGGGUCUUUUUGUUUGUCUAUGCAUUCCAAGUGAAUUUUAGUACUUUUGAUUUUUCUAUUGAUAUUUUGUUUAUGGUUGCUAUUGAGUUGCUUUGAUUGAAGGAUAGAGGGAAGUGAUUAUUGAUAAUUAUAGGGCUUGAAGAAUCCUCGAGAGAGUGACAAUGCUUGUUGAAUUUUUAUGAAAAUGCAACAUUGAAAAGGUUGAUGAGUUUCCAAUUUCAAAAGUCUACCUAAAGCUCUAUUGUUUGUUUAACUCAAAGGUAAAAAAGAGUAAAGUAUGUGGACUUGCACCGAAUAGAGCCAUGGUAAGUUUCCAAUUUCAAAAGUUUACCUAAAGCUCUAUUGUUUAUUGAUGAGUUUCCAUAGAAUUUUGAAGGUUUGAGAAGAGUUGUGGAAAUUUGGGACAAUACCACCCUCCUUACUUGUAUUUAUUCUCAUUCUUAUUAAGUUUUUCUAACUACGUUUCUUUGGUCCCUCAAGGAUAUGUCAAACUGUUCAACUUUAAGGACUAAAAAUUGUCAUACAUGUAUUGUCGUAGCGUUUUUGUUGUAAGGACUAGGAACGACCCAACUUUAAGGACUACAAAUGGUUAUUUUGCUCUACUUUAAACAUUGUGAACUUUUCAUUGAUGAAA